CUGGCGGCGUGCCUAAUACAUGCAAGUCGAGCGAAUGGAUUAAGAGCUUGCUCUUAUGAAGUUAGCGGCGGACGGGUGAGUAACACGUGGGUAACCUGCCCAUAAGACUGGGAUAACUCCGGGAAACCGGGGCUAAUACCGGAUAACAUUUUGAACCGCAUGGUUCGAAAUUGAAAGGCGGCUUCGGCUGUCACUUAUGGAUGGACCCGCGUCGCAUUAGCUAGUUGGUGAGGUAACGGCUCACCAAGGCAACGAUGCGUAGCCGACCUGAGAGGGUGAUCGGCCACACUGGGACUGAGACACGGCCCAGACUCCUACGGGAGGCAGCAGUAGGGAAUCUUCCGCAAUGGACGAAAGUCUGACGGAGCAACGCCGCGUGAGUGAUGAAGGCUUUCGGGUCGUAAAACUCUGUUGUUAGGGAAGAACAAGUGCUAGUUGAAUAAGCUGGCACCUUGACGGUACCUAACCAGAAAGCCACGGCUAACUACGUGCCAGCA
rnacentral:rRNA from 1 species